CAGAGCCGCGGUAAUACAGAGGGUGCAAGCGUUAAUCGGAAUUACUGGGCGUAAAGCGCGCGUAGGUGGUUUGUUAAGUUGGAUGUGAAAUCCCCGGGCUCAACCUGGGAACUGCAUCCAAAACUGGCAAGCUAGAGUAUGGUAGAGGGUGGUGGAAUUUCCUGUGUAGCGGUGAAAUGCGUAGAUAUAGGAAGGAACACCAGUGGCGAAGGCGACCACCUGGACUGAUACUGACACUGAGGUGCGAAAGCGUGGGGAGCAAACAGGAUUAGAUACCCCAGUAGUCCUGUCUCUUAUACAC
rnacentral:rRNA from 1 species